rnacentral:misc_RNA from 1 species
UCAAACUUGGUCAUUUAGAGGAAGUAAAAGUCGUAACAAGGUUUCCGUAGGUGAACCUGCGGAAGGAUCAUUAAUGAUUGGCCCCAACGGGCCUCAUCAGUAUUAAUCCCGACACCACUGUGAACUGUUUUCGGCCCCUGUGGGCUGAUCUUUUUUUACAACGCCAAACAUUGUGUAACGAACGUCUUCUUACCUUAACGAAACAAAAACUUUCAACAACGGAUCUCUUGGCUCUCGCAUCGAUGAAGAACGCAGC